rnacentral:rRNA from 1 species
UAACUGGGCGUAAAGGGCACGCAGGCGGUGACUUAAGUGAGGUGUGAAAGCCCCGGGCUUAACCUGGGAAUUGCAUUUCAUACUGGGUCGCUAGAGUACUUUAGGGAGGGGUAGAAUUCCACGUGUAGCGGUGAAAUGCGUAGAGAUGUGGAGGAAUACCGAAGGCGAAGGCAGCCCCUUGGGAAUGUACUGACGCUCAUGUGCGAAAGCGUGGGGAGCAAACAGGAUUAGAUACCCUGGUAGUCCACGCUGUAAACGAUGUCGAUUUGGGGGUUGAGCUUUGAGCUUGGCGCCCGUAGCUAACGUGAUAAAUCGACCGCCUGGGGAGUACGGCCGCAAGGUUAAAACUCAAAUGAAUUGACGGGGGCCCGCACAAGCGGUGGAGCAUGUGGUUUAAUUCGAUGCAACGCGAAGAACCUUACCUACUCUUGACAUCCAGAGAACUUUCCAGAGAUGGAUUGGUGCCUUCGGGAACUCUGAGACAGGUGCUGCAUGGCUGUCGUCAGCUCGUGUCGUGAGAAG